UGGCUCAGAGGGUAAAGCAUCUGUCUGCAAUGCAGGAGACCUGGGUUCGAUUCCUGG
rnacentral:tRNA from 1 species